rnacentral:rRNA from 1 species
UGGGGAAUAUUGCACAAUGGGCGCAAGCCUGAUGCAGCCAUGCCGCGUGUAUGAAGAAGGCCUUCGGGUUGUAAAGUACUUUCAGUCGGGAGGAAGGUGGUAAGGUUAAUAACCUUAUCAAUUGACGUUACCGACAGAAGAAGCACCGGCUAACUCCGCGCCAGCAGCCGCGGUAAUACGGAGGGUGCAAGCGUUAAUCGGAAUUACUGGGCGUAAAGCGCACGCAGGCGGUUGAUUGAGUCAGAUGUGAAAUCCCCGGGCUUAACCCGGGAAUUGCAUCUGAUACUGGUCAGCUAGAGUCUUGUAGAGGGGGGUAGAAUUCCAUGUGUAGCGGUGAAAUGCGUAGAGAUGUGGAGGAAUACCGGUGGCGAAGGCGGCCCCCUGGACAAAGACUGACGCUCAGGUGCGAAAGCGUGGGGAGCAAACAGG